GACGAACGCUGGCGGCGUGCCUAAUACAUGCAAGUAGAACGCUGAAGGAGGAGCUUGCUCUUCUGGAUGAGUUGCGAACGGGUGAGUAACGCGUAGGUAACCUGCCUGGUAGCGGGGGAUAACUAUUGGAAACGAUAGCUAAUACCGCAUAACAGUAGAUAUUGCAUGACAUUUACUUAAAAGGUGCAAUUGCAUCACUACCAGAUGGACCUGCGUUGUAUUAGCUAGUUGGUGGGGUAACGGCUCACCAAGGCGACGAUACAUAGCCGACCUGAGAGGGUGAUCGGCCACACUGGGACUGAGACACGGCCCAGACUCCUACGGGAGGCAGCAGUAGGGAAUCUUCGGCAAUGGACGGAAGUCUGACCGAGCAACGCCGCGUGAGUGAAGAAGGUUUUCGGAUCGUAAAGCUCUGUUGUAAGAGAAGAACGAGUGUGAGAGUGGAAAGUUCACACUGUGACGGUAUCUUACCAGAAAGGGACGGCUAACUACGUG
rnacentral:rRNA from 1 species